rnacentral:lncRNA from 1 species
UAACUAAGGCUUUGUUUGGAUUGCGAAAAGACUACGGUUUAGUUUGGUAUUGAGGUCCAUCCAACGUUAUUAGAUACAAUGAAAUUAGGAUAAUAGCGUAUUGAGAUAUGUUUCUGAGUUCUUCUGUGAGACAGUAAAAAAUAUAUCGUAAUCAACUGAUCACGAUAUCCGAAAAGCAAUAUUAUGUACGGAAAUAAAUAAAAUAUUUUUUCAUCGUACUUUCUUACCGUAAGUAACACAAUUUUUCUGCAAUCCCAAUCCCAAACGAUGCCUACGUUACUUGCCGUACAUGUUUGUUUCCGUACGUAAUAUUGUUUGUCGCAUAUUAUAAUGCGUCGGUUACGAUAUAUUUUCUACAGUCUCACCGGAGAACGCAAAAAUAUAUCACUAGUGCUUUCAUCCCAAUUCGCGUCAGAUGAGCCUUAAUAUCAAACUAAGUCUAAAUCGAUUUAUUUUUAUUAGUUUGUUACACUUCGUA